UACAGAGGUCUCAAGCGUUGUUCGGAAUCACUGGGCGUAAAGGGUGCGUAGGCGGCGCGGUAAGUCAGAGGUGAAAUGCCGGGGCUCAACCCCGGAACUGCCUCCGAUACUGCCGCGCUUGAGGACUGGAGAGGAGUCUGGAAUUCACAGUGGAGCAGUGAAAUGCGUGGAUAUUGUGAGGAACACUAGUGGCGAAGGCGAGACUCUGGACAGUUCCUGACGCUGAGGCACGAAGGCCAGGGGGAGCAAACGGG
rnacentral:rRNA from 1 species